rnacentral:pre_miRNA from 3 species
GAUUUGAACUGAAAAAAUCAACAAAAACAAAGUUGUAUAACUCAUCAAUAUCUAUAACUUUUAUUUUGGUCGUUUAUUCAUCUGACAAAGUGAUAGUAACAUUGUUCACAAAAUUUACAUAUCUCUCUUAUAGUUUAUAAACCAUAUGGAGAUAUGUAAAAUUUAUGAACAAUGUUAAAAUCACUUUGUCGAAUGAACAAAUGACCAAAAUGAAAAUUGUAGAUCUAGAUGAAUUGUACAACUUUCUUGUUGAUGACUUUUUCAGUUGAAGUC